rnacentral:lncRNA from 1 species
CGUACCUCGUGUGAUCCUUAGCGGCUCUCUGAAGCAGACAGAAGAGGGCCAGCCAUCUUUCUUCCACCUUUGAGGCUUGGGAAGGGUGAGACUUGCUGGUGACUUACAACUCCAUCAAAGGGGCAUGGUGAAAUAAGGGCCUGGGCUCCUGACUUCUGGGCUAGGGCUCUUCCAAAGGCAGAGUCUGGAGAGGCCUGGCUGUGGCCAGACCAUGGGGCAAGUGGCUAGAGGGGCGAGUAGACAGCAGAGGCAGCUGUGGCCCCCGGGAUUAGCACUGGGGGACCGGAUGGGGGAGGGAGGCCUCACUUUGUUCUAUCUGAGCAGCUUCCUCGGCAGUCAUGGGACUGAUUGAGACCACGCGAGGGCUCCUCCCGGGGGCAGGUAAUCGCAACUACAGCACCCGCCCAAUUCCACCCCAUCCAGGGUCCUUCGCUGCUUUCCUUUUUUGCCCUCUGUUCUGGGCUCUGCCCUCCCACCUGAACCCUGCUCCUCUGAGAAGUCUUGGCUGAGUCCCAGGCUGAGCCUUCUCUGGGUUCCCACUUCCCAUGCUGAUUCCCACCCUGCUCCCUCCAUCCUGGUAGGAGGGACUCAGAGGCUGCCCCGUUGUCUGGGGGUGGCCCUGGCGAAGGAGCUCAUCUUCACGGGCCGACGACUGAGUGGAACUGAGGCCCACGUACUGGGGCUGGUGAAUCACGCUGUGGCCCAGAACGAGGAGGGGGACGCCGCCUACCAGCGGGCACGAGCACUGGCCCAGGAGAUCCUGCCCCAGGUGUGGCCCCCAUUGCCGUGCGGCUGGGCAAAGUAGCCAUUGACCGAGGAACGGAGGUGGACAUUGCAUCUGGGA